GAUGAACGCUAGCGGCAGGCCUAACACAUGCAAGUCGAGGGGUAGAGUUAGCUUGCUAACUUGAGACCGGCGCACGGGUGCGUAACGCGUAUGCAAUCUGCCUUGUACUGAGGGAUAGCCCAGAGAAAUUUGGAUUAAUACCUCAUAGUAUUAUUGAAUGGCAUCAUUUGAUAAUUAAAGUUCCAACGGUACAAGAUGAGCAUGCGUCGCAUUAGUUAGUUGGUAAGGUAACGGCUUACCAAGACGAUGAUGGGUAGGGGUCCUGAGAGGGAGAUCCCCCACACUGGUACUGAGACACGGACCAGACUCCUACGGGAGGCUGCAGUGAGGAAUAUUGGUCAAUGGGUGCAAGCCUGAACCAGCCAUGCCGCGUGCAGGAUGAAGCAUCUAUGGUGUGUAAACUGCUUUUAUACGGGAAGAAACACUCCUACGUGUAGGAACUUGACGGUACCGUAAGAAUAAGGAUCGGCUAACUCCGUGCCAGCCGCCGCAGUAACAC
rnacentral:rRNA from 1 species